UCAUUGGUGUUGCAGUUUUGGCUGCAAUGAAAAGGGAAUCAGGUGCAAAUCCUGAACAGAAUCCGCUGCUGUAAGUCACAGCGUUGCUACACAUGAGGCUUAUCCUCCCGGACAAAAUACGGGAUAGGGGCUUGAGAUGUGAUAGCACGAAUCUCUCCGAAUGAAUCCACUGUCUUUAUCUGAAAGGGCGGGAAGGAGUCGGAAGAAUGAGAGUGACGAGUCAGAAGACCUGCCAAUGGAUGA
rnacentral:ncRNA from 1 species